rnacentral:tRNA from 1 species
GCUCCUGUGGCGCAAUUGAUUAGCGCAUGGCAUUUAUAUCAUAACAAUAUUGUUGCCAAGGCUGUGAGUUCAAAUCUCACCUGGAGCA